rnacentral:rRNA from 1 species
AGCGAACGCUGGCGGCAGGCUUAACACAUGCAAGUCGAGCGGGCAUCCUUGUGGUGUCAGCGGCAGACGGGUGAGUAACGCGUGGGAACGUGCCCUUCGGUUCGGAAUAACUCAGGGAAACUUGAGCUAAUACCGGAUACGUGCGAGAGCAGAAAGGUUUAUCUGCCGAAGGAUCGGCCCGCGUCUGAUUAGCUAGUUGGUGAGGUUAUGGCUCACCAAGGCGACGAUCAGUAGCUGGUCUGAGAGGAUGAUCAGCCACACUGGGACUGAGACACGGCCCAGACUCCUACGGGAGGCAGCAGUGGGGAAUAUUGGACAAUGGGGGCAACCCUGAUCCAGCCAUGCCGGGUGAGUGAUGACGGCCUUAGGGUUGUAAAGCUCUUUUCUUCGGGACGAUAAUGACGGUACCGGAGGAAUAAGCCCCGGCUAACUUCGUG